AGUGAACGCUGGCGGUAGGCCUAACACAUGCAAGUCGAACGGCAGCACAGUAAGAGCUUGCUCUUACGGGUGGCGAGUGGCGGACGGGUGAGGAAUACAUCGGAAUCUACUUUUUCGUGGGGGAUAACGUAGGGAAACUUACGCUAAUACCGCAUACGACCUACGGGUGAAAGCAGGGGAUCUUCGGACCUUGCGCGAUUGAAUGAGCCGAUGUCGGAUUAGCUAGUUGGCGGGGUAAAGGCCCACCAAGGCGACGAUCCGUAGCUGGUCUGAGAGGAUGAUCAGCCACAUUGGAACUGAGACACGGUCCAGAGUCCUACGGGAGGCAGCAGUGGGGAAUAUUGGACAAUGGGGGCAAGCCGGAUCCAGCCAUACCGGGUGGGUGAAGAAGGCCUUCGGGUUGUAAAGCCCUUUUGUUGGGAAAGAAAAGCAGCAGGUUAAUACCCCGCUGUUCUGACGGUACCCAAAGAAUAAGCACCGGCUAACUUCGUG
rnacentral:rRNA from 1 species